rnacentral:rRNA from 1 species
UACUAGAGUAGCACUCGCAUAUCAAUAAGCGGAGGAAAAGGAACUAACAAGGAUUCCCUUAGUAACGGCGAGUGAAGCGGGAAGAGCUCAAAUUUGAAAUCUUCAAGGUUUUACCUUGACGAAUUGUAGUUUAAAGAAGUGUUUUCUGUUGAAGUUUCGGUAAAAGUUCUUUGGAAUAGGACAUCAUAGAGGGUGAGAAUCCCGUAUUUGACCGUUACUUUUCCAGCUGUGUGAUACACUUUCAAAGAGUCGGAUUGUUUGGGAAUGCAGUCCAAAAUGGGUGGUAAAUUUCAUCUAAAGCUAAAUAUUGGCGAGAGACCGAUAGCGUAACAAGUACCGUGAGGGAAAGAUGAAAAGAACUUUGAAAAGAGAGUUAAACAGUACGUGAAAUUGUCAAAAGGGAAGCGUUUGACACCAGUGUUGUUUUUCCGAAAAUCAAUUAUGAAUGGCUUGAUUUUAAGUUUCAUGACCUUAAAAGCUUGUUUCUUAUUUUUCAUGUCUUUCGUAAUGCACUUUUCGGUUAACAAGUCAACAUCAAUUUCUUUUGUUGUAAAAGGUUAAGAGGAAGGUGGCUUUACUUUCGGGUAAAGUGUUUAUAGCCUUUUACCUCUGCAAUCGGAGAGAUUGGGGUCUGCAGCGUAGACUCCUCGGGGUUAGAUACAUUUAUGCUAAGCUAUAGCCUUGUAUAGACAACUUGUUGACUAUGCUCAGUCAUGUAGCUUACUCGUAGAUGCUAUUUUACCUACGCUUAGGAUGUUGAUAGUCACAGCGUGUAC